rnacentral:rRNA from 1 species
CCGGCGGUCCGCCUUAGCGGCGGCUACUGCCGGGUUCCGAGCUGUGUCCCCGCCGGCGCGCACGGGGUUUUUUAUGCCCUUAACCGGGUGUCCCCCCUGUGGCCGGCACGUUUACUUUGAAAAAAAUUAGAGUGCUCAGAGCAGGCUGGUCUUUGCUUACAGCCCGAAUGGUCGUGCAUGGAAUGAUGGAACAGGACCUCGGUUCUAUUUUGUCGGUUUUUCGGAACCCGAGGUAAUGAUUAAAUAGAAGCAGACGGGGGCAUUCGUACUGCGACGCUAGAGGUGAAAUUCUUAGACCGUCGCAUGACGACCUACUGCGAAAGCAUCUGCCAAGGAUGUUUUCAUUGAUCAAGAACGAAAGUUAGAGGUUCGAAGGCGAUCAGAUACCGCCCUAGUUCUAACCUUAAACGAUGCUGACUAGCGAUCCGCCGCAGUUAUUCCCAUGACCCGGCGGGUAGCUUCCGGGAAACCAAAGUCUUUGAGUUCCGGGGGAAGUAUGGUUGCAAAGCUGAAACUUAAAGGAAUUGACGGAAGGGCACCACCAGGAGUGGAGCCUGCGGCUCAAUUUGACGCAACACGGGGAAACUCACCAGGCCAGGACACCGGAAGGAUUGACAGAAUGAAGGCUCUUUCUCGAUUCGGUGGGUGGUGGUGCAUGGCCGUUCUUAGUUGGUGGAGUGAUCUGUCUGGUUAAUUCCGAUAACGAACGAGACUCUAGCCUGCUAAAUAGUCGACGGGUCUCUCGCCCAGCCUUCGCCCUCGGGCGUGGGCUCGGGUUCCCCUAAACCCGGCCGUCGCGCGGGCCUCCGCCGUCGGUUGGUUAGCGCCGCCGGCGCCGCGGGGCGCGGCGCCGGAAACUGGCGUCCGCUUCGCAGUCUUCUUCUUAGAGGGAUAAGCGGCAGCAAAAAAAAAACUAGCCGCACGAGAGUUUGAGCCAUAACAGGUCUGUGAUGCCCUUAGAUGUUCUGGGCCGCACGCGCGCUACAAUGGAGAGUUCAGCGAGCUGUCCCUGCUCCGAGAGGAGCGGGUAACCUCGUGAAAGCUGUCCUUAAAGGGGAUUGGGGCUUGCAAAUGUUCCCCAUGAACGAGGAAUUCCCAGUAGGCGCAAUUCACCAGAUUGCGCCGAUUUAGUCCCUGCCCUUUGUACACACCGCCCGUCGCUACUACCGAUUGAAUGGUCUAGUGAGGGCACCGGACUGGCGCCCUUGGAGCCGCUACCGCCGCCUCGGCGGCGGCCAGCGCCCUCGGGUCGACGGAAAGGUGUCCAAGCUGGGUCAUUUAGAGGAAGUAAAAGCCCUUAGAUGGAGUUUACCACCUGCUUUAG